GGCGAGAUGGCCGAGUGGUCUAAGGCGCCAGACUAAGGACUAGGGCAUUCAGAUGUCCACCUCUUCCAGUUAAUGGAAUCUGGUCUUUCGGGGCGUGGGUUCGAAUCCCACUCUCGUCA
rnacentral:tRNA from 1 species